CCUCAGGUGAUUUCAUCCGGGAAGUUCACCGUGCCCCCAUCGCGAGUCCACCGUGCUCAGAGCUCGCGCGUUGCCCCUGCGUACGCCCGAGUCCUACCCCCUUGCUGUGGGAAAAAAUUAUCAGGAAGCUCAAUCUAAUAACAUCACGAAGUUCAUUUUUAACCAAACUGGGUAAUAAGUGUUGCUCUACACUCAUAUUUUAUUUCAUCAUUGCCAACUGAAGCACGUCCACAAACCCCGUGUCUUCACUCAGAUGCACUGCUAGGCACCAUCGACCACAAGACCGGCGCCACAACUUCUCUGAACUGCCCAUGUUGUGGUGUCAUGGGCUGCCCGUGCUCUUUCCACAUUCAUGUACAAGAUGAAAAAAAGACAGACAGAGGAGAGUGAGGACGCCAUGGACCUGUCAUGUGUGGAUGUAGCAGGAGAGUCCUACGCCGGUGUUGCACAUGGCUCGUCGGAACUUCGGAUUAGGGCAUUGCACCGACACAAACAUGGGUGCCGCUGCUGCUGUUCUUUCUUCUGCCAUUUGCGUACGGCAUGCUCAUGCUAGCGUCGUCGUCUCAAUGUAACGAGGGACGAGGGGGUGGAGGCCAAUCCUGUUCAGUCAUUAAUUUUUUGCAGUUCUGCAUUUUUAUCAGCUGCAAGAGGGCAGCCGAGUCUUGUGAAUGGACUGCUGUUGGGCCUUGCGAAUGGACUACCGUCGACCCAGUGAGUCUCCUGACCUAGCUACCUUCUUGUUCUCCCUUUCUGGAAGUUCAGAGAUGGGCAUUUGGUGCAGUUCAUUAGGUGUUGCAUGCGUGGGUUUUUUAAUUGUUCGUGAGAUUUUUGAAGGCCAUAUGACAAUUCAGUUCUUCGUGUCAGAAAGUUCACCUCGUGCAUUCGCGAAGUUCAAAUAAAAUUGAACGAAUUUUUCUUUUGUUGGAAAGUUCACUUGGGACAUAAGGGAAAGUUGAAUUUGUAGAUUGAGAAAGUUCGUUUUAAUCAUCUGUGAAACAAACUAAAGGAUCACAGUGAAUUCAUUAGGAGUAAGUAAAAGUGAAGUUCACUCUGCAAAUAAAAAUGAAGUUCGCUAGGCAUAAAAACCGAAGUUUGUUUCAGGAAGUGUAAAAAAAAUCAGUGUUAUAAGAGUCCUUGCCUGCUUCUCAUUGCAACAGUGUAAUAAAAUCCUUGCUUGCUUCCGCUAUGAGUUAUUUUACAUUUCAGUAUGAUGUCAACACAGUAGCAUUUGCUGAUGAAAGUGUUGAUCUCAUUUAUUCUGGAAGCGAUGAUAAUAUGUGCAAAGUAGCUUGCACUUACAAACUAUUAUGUUCGACCAUAUAUGACUGAAUUGUUUUCGGAUUAAUUCACCAUUUAUAAAAGUGUCCGAUAUGGAUGAGUAUGCUAUGGUAAAUCUCCUCUGUAGUGUACAUGGUCUAUUUCAAUAUUCCAGUUUAGUGUACCCAUGCACAGGAAUUCCCUAGUAUUGCCAAACCUAGUUUUUAUGCGUAUGAUACUGACUAUCAUUUUUCGAUUCCCCUUUUCAUGCAUGAGGGCCAGACUAAUUUAUUUUGAAAGGAACAAGCUAUAUGGGGGCUGAAGCAUCUGGGCGAUGAGGCAGUGCACUUAUGACACCUAUGGGGAGUUCACUAGCGCUCAUCGCUAGAGUUCGCCAGGAGCCGUGGCGGGAGUCCACCUUGAAGCGCAGCACCCGCAGGUCGUGGGUACUAUUCUGAUUCUCGAGGAACAACACUUGGAGCUCUGUUUGGGGUACCUUUGAAGCCAUGGUCCUAAGCUUCUCCAAACCACCCCGUUCCCUGCCUCACUGGCCUCACUCUUGUACUCGUCUGGUUGACCGUGCCUUCCACCGAUGGGAAUUCACAAAGCCGCGUGUAGGAGUUCAUUGGCACCAGCACUUUCGGGCUCAUACGCGCACCUCGCCAAUGACAUGGCUGUCAUCCCAAGCUCUCGGCCUUACACGACGGGCGGCUCACAGACAACAACGAGUCCAGGCUCAUUACACGGCAGUAGCCCCCCAGCAGCGUACCAACGAUGAGGCAGCACACUGCAUAUUUUUACAAGUAGCGGAAAUCCUAUAUGCGCACAACUAGUACCUGAUGUGGUUAGCUUCAGUUUUUUUAUUUUGGCUCUUGCCUAGAAAGUUCUGUAGCACACUCUAAUUGAUUCUCUCUGUAAUUGAAUAUUUGCAUCGAUUGGUUCACUGGCUUCAAAUAGAAAAAGAAGUUCACCUCGUCCCCAUAUGAAGUUAGCCUAUUUUUAUUUUGGAAGUUUGUUUUGUAUACUGGUAUUUUGUAUUUUGUGAUGCUGCUAGCUAUUUGUUUCAACGAAUUAUUCUGUGAAGUUCCUCUUUAUUUGUUAGGAACUUCGG